GACGAACGCUGGCGGCGUGCUUAACACAUGCAAGUCGAGCGGUAAGGCCCUUUCGGGGGUGCACGAGCGGCGAACGGGUGAGUAACACGUGGGUGACCUGCCCUUAGCUCUGGGAUAAGCCUGGGAAACUGGGUCUAAUACCGGAUAUGACUCCAUGACGCAUGUUGUGGGGUGGAAAGCCUUGUGCGGCUAGGGAUGGGCCCGCGGCCUAUCAGCCUGUUGGUGGGGUGAUGGCCUACCAAGGCGACGACGGGUAGCCGGCCUGAGAGGGCGACCGGCCACACUGGGACUGAGACACGGCCCAGACUCCUACGGGAGGCAGCAGUGGGGAAUCUUGCGCAAUGGGCGAAAGCCUGACGCAGCGACGCCGCGUGAGGGAUGACGGCCUC
rnacentral:rRNA from 1 species